rnacentral:rRNA from 1 species
CUCUGCUAAGCUAGUAGGUGAGGUAACGGUCACCUAGGCGACGAUCAGUAGCUGGUCUGAGAGGACGAUCAGCACACUGACUGAGACAGGUCCAGACUCUACGGGAGGCAGCAGUGGGGAAUUUCGCAAUUGGCGCAAGCCUGACGGAGCCAUACCGCGUGCGGGAGGAAGGCCCUUGGGUCGUAAACCGCUUUUAACAGGGAAGAAUAACUGACGGUACCUGUUGAAUAAGCCUCGGCUAACUCCGUGCCAGCAGCCGCGGUAAUACGGAGGAGGCAAGCGUUAUCCGGAAUUAUUGGGCGUAAAGCGUCCGCAGGUGGCUUACCAAGUCUGUUGUUAAAGCCCAGGGCUCAACCCUGGAUCAGCAAUGGAAACUGGUAGGCUAGAGUGCGGUAGGGGCAGAGGGAAUUCCCAGUGUAGCGGUGAAAUGCGUAGAUAUUGGGAAGAACACCAGUGGCGAAGGCGCUCUGCUGGACCGCAACUGACACUCAUGGACGAAAGCUAGGGGAGCGAAAGGGAUUAGAUACCCCUGUAGUCCUAGCCGUAAACGAUGAACACUAGGUGUUGGACGUAUCGACCCGUUCAGUGCCGUAGCCAACGCGUUAAGUGUUCCGCCUGGGGAGUACGCACGCAAGUGUGAAACUCAAAGGAAUUGACGGGGGCCCGCACAAGCGGUGGAGUAUGUGGUUUAAUUCGAUGCAACGCGAAGAACCUUACCAGGGCUUGACAUGUCGCGAAUCUUUGGGAAACCUUAGAGUGCCUUCGGGAGCGCGAACACAGGUGGUGCAUGGCUGUCGUCAGCUCGUGUCGUGAGAUGUUGGGUUAAGUCCCGCAACGAGCGCAACCCACGUAUUUAGUUGCCAUCAUUAAGUUGGGCACUCUAGAUAGACUGCCGGUGACAAACCGGAGGAAGGUGUGGAUGACGUCAAGUCAGCAUGCCCCUUACGUCCUGGGCUACACACGUACUACAAUGGUUGGGACAAAGGGUUGCAAACUCGCGAGAGUGAGCGAAUCUCAGCAAACCCUGCCUCAGUUCAGAUUGCAGGCUGCAACUCGCCUGCAUGAAGGAGGAAUCGCUAGUAAUCGCAGGUCAGCAUACUGCGGUGAAUUCGUUCCC